rnacentral:rRNA from 1 species
GAGUUUGAUCCUGGCUCAGAUUGAACGCUGGCGGCAUGCCUUACACAUGCAAGUCGAACGGCAGCACGGGGGCUUGCUCCUGGUGGCGAGUGGCGAACGGGUGAGUAAUGCAUCGGAACGUAUCCUGGAGUGGGGGAUAACGUAGCGAAAGUUACGCUAAUACCGCAUAUUCUGUGAGCAGGAAAGCGGGGGACCUUCGGGCCUCGCGCUCUUGGAGCGGCCGAUGUCGGAUUAGCUAGUUGGUGAGGUAAAGGCUCACCAAGGCGACGAUCCGUAGCAGGUCUGAGAGGAUGAUCUGCCACACUGGAACUGAGACACGGUCCAGACUCCUACGGGAGGCAGCAGUGGGGAAUUUUGGACAAUGGGGGCAACCCUGAUCCAGCCAUGCCGCGUGAGUGAAGAAGGCC